CAUGCAUACAUACAUACAUACACCCAACACACACACACACACACACACACACACACACACACACACACACACACACACACACACACACACACACACACACACAUACUGUAUGUUUGUCAUUUUAUGUUUCUUCUUAUUCACAACAUUGCUUUAAAACCAUGGAUUCCAUUGAUACUAUUUUUGAUAAGGAAAUGCUCUCUUUUUUUCACACUAACCUGGUCUGCCUUAACAAAACAAACCUUAAGAACAAACAAACAAAACCAUAAUAACAAAAAAAACAUACAAUUUACCUCAUGUUUUACCUGCACCUUUAGUGGCAGUGUGAGAUAGGAUGACUCAGGAAUUCUAGAACCAGAACCCUGAUGAUCCUUACUUCAGGUAUUCUACAACCCUGAUAAUCCUUCAGGUAUUCUAGAACCCUGAUAAUCCUUCAGGUAUUCUAGAACCCUGAUAAUCCUUCAGGUAUUCUAGAAUCCUGAUAAUCCUUCAGGUAUUCUAGAACCCUGAUAAUCCUUCAGGUAUUCUAGAACCCUGAUAAUCCUUACUUCAGGUAUUCUAAGAAUUCCGAAGACAUGUCGGCACUUUGUGGUCUGAUGCUGAUGCAAUAUCUCCUCACCAUUUCAAACUACCUCCGAUUUCCACCGCAACAACCUGAAAACUCCAAGCUCAAGGAAUGUACACUUCCCUGCUACACAGUACUGCACAGUACCACACAGUACUAAAUAGUAGUACACAGUACUACACAGUACUAAAUAGUACUACAUAGUACUACACAGUACUACAUAGUAUUACUACACACAACAACGCAUGGGAUGGCAGUGUGUGUGUGUGUGUCAACGAGCUAACUUGUUAUAAAAGUUGUUGUCUUGUGUCUCACAGUGGAACAGACAUGUUCUGUGUAAGUCUGACAGGUAAUUUACUGAAAUCAGGAGUUUUUUUUAUAUUUCCUAUGUAGAACUCAUAAGCAGCUAAUGGAAGAAGUACUGUGGUGUCUUUAUUUCACAUUAACAUUAGUGUUGUGUAUCUAUUUACAUUACCAUGAGUGUUGUGUAUCUAAGUCCUAACAAGACACCCACCUUUCCCUCUCCUCAACUGGGACUUCUGUUUGACAAACUGUUAACUUGAAUAUAUUUGUUUUUCUGAUUUACUCAAUGGUUUUUAUUAAGGAUCAAGUGCUUGUAUGACACUACCGAUAUUAUUGUUUUUGUUUGUUUUUGCUCUGAAUUCUUUUAUUUUUUGUUAUUUUUUUCUGAACUAUGUACUAUUCAUAUACAUUUAUGUACCUCAAACAAACUGAUAAAAAUGGACUUAUAAUCGAUUGACAAAUACCUACCUCCAGUCUUGAAAAGGAAUGAUUUUUGCCGGGUUUCUUUCAUUCAGUAUGAGUUUUGAUAAUGUAUGAUGAAAUCUAUCGAUAUUAGGACUGCAAAAGAUCCCUUACUCAAAAGUAUUUUUGUAACAGUUUUCAAAACUUCUGAACCAAGAAAAAUGUUGACUUCACCCUGCGGAAGAAAUAGCCUUCAAAAAAUAAUCUUGAAGAUUUUCAGGUUUUGAAAAAUAUAUGUUUGGGUUUUGUAUAUUGUAUUCAUGGAUUUUUUUUUUUUUUAAUUAGUAGAUAUUGAUAUACUUGAUUAGAUAUUUUGUGUACUUUACGACACGUGAUUUUCUUUUUCUUGUUGUUAUGGUUCAACCAGAUGUAUAUGAAAAUGCUUCUUAAGUAGUGAUGGAUUACAACUUUUAAAUGUUAACAUGGUAUAUUCUCAUACGGGCCUGAGGUAGAGAGCCUCAGAGAGUUAGCCAAACAACCCAACAUGCCCUCUCCACUCACACAGGCCUGAGGUAGAGAGCCUCAGAGAGUUAGCCAAACAACCCAACAUGCCCUCUCCACUCACACAGGCCUGAGGUAGAGAGCCUCAGAGAGUUAGCCAAACAACCCAACAUGCCCUCUCCACUCACACAGGCCUGAGGUAGGGAGCCUCAGAGAGUUAGCCAAACAACCCAACAUGCCCUCUCCACUCACACAGGCCUGAGGUAGAGAGCCUCAGAGAGUUAGCCAAACAACCCAACAUGCCCUCUCCACUCACACAGGCCUGAGGUAGAGAGCCUCAGAGAGUUAGCCAAACAACCCAACAUGCCCUCUCCACUCACACAGGCCUGAGGUAGAGAGCCUCAGAGAGUUAGCCAAACAACCCAACAUGCCCUCUCCACUCACACAGGCCUGCAAGCUGCAAUUCAAACUUAACAUCAGUCAGUUUUAAGCUGCUUUCAUGUGCUCUCUGAAUUAUAUUGACUGGGGAAAAAUUACGGAAUAGGAAAGGUCCCGGAAUCGUGCUAACAACAACCGUUCAUUUUGAGUUUCCGAGUCAGAAAUACGUGUGGGCACAAACUUAGGGAACAUCUUUGUACCCAAAGUUUCACAGUCGUAUACUUCCGAGUUUCUCAGUCAGAGACUUCCGAGUUUCUCAGUCAGAGACUUCCGAGUUUCUCAGUCAGAAACUUCCGUGUUUCUCAGUCGAAUACUUCCGAGUUUCUCAGUCAAAUACUUCCGAGUUUCUCAGUAGGAGACUUCAGAUUUUCUCAGUCGGAGACUUCCGAGUUUCUCAGUCAGAAACUUCCGAGUUUCUCAGUCAGAGACUUCCGAGUUUCUCAGUCGAAUACUUCCAAGUUUCUCAGUCGAAUACUUCCGAGUUUCUCAGGCGGAUACUUCCGAGUUUCUCAGUCAAAUACUUCUGAGUUUCUCAGUCGGAGACUUCCGAGUUUCUCAGUCGGAGACUUCCGAGUUUCUCAGUCGGAGACUUCCGAGUUUCUCAGUCAGAUGCAGACUUCAGAGUUUCCUAUUUUCCGAGGAAGGCAGCAUUAGUUUCUUCACACACUAUUACUGUCCAGAAUGUUCCUCGAACUGUAUCAUUGGGUGGGUUCAUCUGUGAUAACAACUCUUGAUAACUCUCAGGUACAUAACAAUCAAAACAGAGAACGUAGGUUGAUCAAGAACCCACCUAUUGUUGAUGAGGUGAAGCCAAAGUAUGCCUAUACUUUAUGUUGAUGCAGUUUGACAGCUGUCUUGGUUUUGAAACGGCUUCGUAGGCCUACCUGUGUGAGUUGGCGAUCACAUGUUGUAGCUUUGAAAAGCACGGCUUAGAAACAGAUAGACUUCACAGCUGAGAAGAACAAUGGCUUUGUCUAAAUACGUCACAAGCCAUCAAAUCCUUGCUUACUGCUUCCAUGUUUCCGUAAUUCUUCUCAAAUCUCAUUGGAGGUGUGGAUCUACGGUUCCUCCUCUCGAGAACUUCUCUUACCAAUGAACUUUGAGAGGAAUUGAGGAAACAAGGACAGUUGGGGGGAAGCAAGUAUGUGACGGCUAGUAAUGUUUUGAGACGCAGCCAUCGCCAGACUGUCCAUCAUCAGCAUGAAAAGCUAUAAGAGAUAAUAAAAAUAAAAAAACAUUUCCAAAAAGGGCUAAACACUGUGGUGCUCAUAGCUGACACUUAUUAUAUCAUAGGAGGUAAUGACGUUCCAAUGUUGGAGCUCCAAGAUCAUUGGACUAUAUUUCAUAAAUAUGUACUCGAGUUCUAAAGUGUAAGAGUAUAUAAAAAAAAAAAAAGAAUUGAAACAAUGUUUUUUUAUUUUUUAUUUUGGGAUGUUUUACCUCAUGUUGGUGUCAAUGUGUAACUAUGGAAACCACUGUUUUGUUGAUGUGCUUUGAGCUCUUGAGUCUUAAUGAAGAUGAUCCCGUUCUAGAACAGUCCCAAUACACAUUACUACCUCCAAGAAAAGGGCCUACUGUUACCUCAUUUUCAAACUAAACCUGCUCCCAAA